CUCACCCUCUCAGUUACCCAGGUAGAUCCUACUCACCCUCUCAGUUACCCAGGUAGUUCCUACUCACCCUCAGUUACCCAGGUAGAUCCUACUCACCCUCUCAGUUACCCAGGUAGAUCCUACUCAGCCUCUCAGUUACCCAGGUAGAUCCUACUCACCCUCUCUGUUACCCAGGUAGAUCCUACUCACCCUCUCAGUUACCCAGGUAGAUCCUACUCACCCUCUCAGUUACCCAGGUAGUUCCUACUCACCUUCUGUUACCCAGGUAGAUCCUACUCACCCUCAGUUACCCAGGUAGAUCCUACUCACCCUCUCAGUUACCCAGGUAGAUCCUGCUCACCCUCUGUUACCCAGGUAGUUCCUACUCACCCUCUCAGUUACCCAGCUAGAUCCUACUCACCCUCUGUUACCCAAGUAGUUCCUACUCACCCUCUCAGUUACCCAGGUAGUUCCCACUCACCCUCUCAGUUACCCAGGUAGAUCCUACUCACCCUCUCAGUUACCCAGGUAGCUUGUGAAUGAAGUUUCUCUACCUUAAAGUAUAUCAAGAGCAGGGGCUGGUAGUGAUGUAGCUAG
rnacentral:lncRNA from 1 species